rnacentral:rRNA from 1 species
GACGAACGCUGGCGGCGUGCUUAACACAUGCAAGUCGAACGGAAAGGCCCUGCUUCUGUGGGGUGCUCGAGUGGCGAACGGGUGAGUAACACGUGAGUAACCUGCCCUUGACUUUGGGAUAACUUCAGGAAACUGGGGCUAAUACCGGAUAGGAGCUCCUGCUGCAUGGUGGGGGUUGGAAAGUUUCGGCGGUUGGGGAUGGACUCGCGGCUUAUCAGCUUGUUGGUGGGGUAGUGGCUUACCAAGGCUUUGACGGGUAGCCGGCCUGAGAGGGUGACCGGCCACAUUGGGACUGAGAGACGGCCCAGACUCCUACGGGAGGCAGCAGUGGGGAAUAUUGCACAAUGGGCGGAAGCCUGAUGCAGCAACGCCGCGUGCGGGAUGACGGCCUUCGGGUUGUAAACCGCUUUCGCCUGUGACGAAGCGUGAGUGACGGUAAUGGGUAAAGAAGCACCGGCUAACUACGUG